AAGCCUCCUCCUAUUCCUUGAGAGUCAAGUCUAAUUUAGGCAUUAAGGGUCCUCCGUCGUAUAUGCUUCGAUAGGUAGACUACCUUGUCUUUAUUGUGUCAGGUCAAACCAGCAUUAGAGCAAUGAUCCAAUCGAAAUCUCCACCAUCCAUCACCAAGUUGGAGACAUGCGGCGUCAGAACUGUUGCCACCUGACCACAGCAUCCACGCACCAAACCGCCAUCAUGAAAGCUCGUAUCGACCCUUAGCCAACAUUUCCAAUCUGGAUGACAGACAAGCCGUAAAUCUUAAAUUGAU
rnacentral:lncRNA from 1 species